rnacentral:lncRNA from 1 species
GUAUUGGAUCUCGCAUCUGCUUUAUGACUUUAGCUUCUUCCCAAUGUAUGGUUAUAUCAUCUUCAUAUGCUUUUAGGGAUAGGGCGGUUGUCAUUUUUGCUUUCUGUAUGUCCCUUUUAUGUUCUUCAAUAUGCUGCCCUAGUGUUCUUGUGGUUACGCCCACAUAGGAUGCUUGUUGGUUUGUUUGGUUUUUCAGUAACCGGUAUGGUAUUAAAUACUGUAGGAGCUCGUUCUAGUCUAUUUCUAGGUUCUUUUUCGUUCCAUAUGGCAUUAAAUACUGUAGGGGCUCUUUUAACCACUAUUCUUUUAUCAGUUUGUCUG